rnacentral:rRNA from 1 species
UGGGGAAUUUUGGACAAUGGGGGAAACCCUGAUCCAGCCAUCCCGCGUGUGCGAUGAAGGCCUUCGGGUUGUAAAGCACUUUUGGCAGGAAAGAAACGUCGCGGGUUAAUACCCCGCGAAACUGACGGUACCUGCAGAAUAAGCACCGGCUAACUACGUGCCAGCAGCCGCGGUAAUACGUAGGGUGCAAGCGUUAAUCGGAAUUACUGGGCGUAAAGCGUGCGCAGGCGGUUCGGAAAGAAAGAUGUGAAAUCCCGGAGCUUAACUUUGGAACUGCAUUUUUAACUACCGGGCUAGAGUGUGUCAGAGGGAGGUGGAAUUCCGCGUGUAGCAGUGAAAUGCGUAGAUAUGCGGAGGAACACCGAUGGCGAAGGCAGCCUCCUGGGAUAACACUGACGCUCAUGCACGAAAGCGUGGGGAGCAAACAGGAUUAGAUACCCUGGUAGUCCACGCCCUAAACGAUGUCAACUAGCUGUUGGGGCCUUCGGGCCUUGGUAGCGCAGCUAACGCGUGAAGUUGACCGCCUGGGGAGUACGGUCGCAAGAUUAAAACUCAAAGGAAUUGAC